ACCGUUCAGUAACACGUGGACAACCUACCCUGAGGAGGGGGAUAACCCCGGGAAACUGGGGGUAAUACCCCAUAGACUAUGGAUGCUGGAAUGCUCUGUAGUUAAAAGGCCCGCCGCCUCAGGAUGGGUCUGCGGCCGAUUAGGUUGUUGUUGGGGUAACGGCCCAACAAGCCUGUAAUCGGUACGGGUUGUGGGAGCAAGAGCCCGGAGAUGGAUUCUGAGACACGAAUCCAGGCCCUACGGGGCGCAGCAGGCGCGAAAACUUUACAAUGCGAGCAAUCGUGAUAAGGGAACUCCGAGUGCCCGUAAAAUCGGGCUGUCCGCCAGUGUAAAUAACUGGUGAAGAAAGGGCCGGGCAAGACCGGUGCCAGCCGCCGCGGUAAUACCGGCGGCUCGAGUGGUGGCCACUAUUACUGGGCUUAAAGCGUUCGUAGCUGGUCUGUUAAGUCUCUGGGGAAAUCUUCCGGCUUAAUCGGAAGGCGUCUCAGGGAUACUGACAGACUAGGGACCGGAAGAGGUGAGAGGUACUCCAGGGGUAGGAGUGAAAUCCUGUAAUCCUUGGGGGACCACCUGUGGCGAAGGCGUCUCACCAGGACGGCUCCGACAGUGAGGAACGAAAGCUGGGGGAGCAAACCGGAUUAGAUACCCGGGUAGUCCCAGCUGUAAACGAUGCGCGUUAGGUGUAUCGGUGACCACGAGUCACCGAGGUGCCGAAGAGAAAUCGUGAAACGCGCCGUCUGCGAAGUACGGUCGCAAGGCUGAAACUUAAAGGAUUUGGCGGGGGAGCAC
rnacentral:rRNA from 1 species